CUGCUAAUUUAUUAAAAAAAAAAAAAAAAAACUCAAACCGAGUGAGUGAAAUAUGCUGGAGAAGUGGAGGGAAAGCAAAAACAAAAAGUGAACCUCCGAUUUGUUUUCUCUGAACCAAGAGUUCGUGGUCGCCACCGUGGACCAGACUGGUCUCGCCCUCGUCGCCUUCUUUACGGCUCCGAAAGCACACUGGUCACUGAGUGAGGAGGUGAGCAAAUGUUUAUUUCUCAGACUUGGAUUUUCUUUUUUGCACUGCAUUGUUUGUUUUUACUUCUUCGUGUGCGUGUUUUGAAUGUUGUU